AUGCCGACGGUCGUCGAGAGGUUCGUGGACUGGACGGUGUCGUGGCUGCCGAUGUACGGAGAGGCGAAGCUGCUACCCGUCAUCUACCUCUGGCACCCCAGCACACGGGGUGCGGGGCACGUGUACGAUGGCUUCCUCCAUCCGCUGGUGGCGUGGCACGAGGCCGACAUCGACCGGGGCCUGCUUGAACUGAGGGCUAGGGCGAGGGACGUGAUGGCGUCACAACUCAACACUAGUAGAAAACAGGGCUUAGGUCACAGGACAGUUUUCACAUUAGUCCCGGUUCAGUCACGAACCGGGACUAAUGUGAGCAUUGGUCCCAGUUCGUGCGGCCAGGGGCCUGCCGGGCCUCGUGGGGGCAUUGGUCCCGGUUCGUCCGGACCCUUUGGUCCCGGUUGGUGGGAUAAACCGGGACCAAUGGGCCACGCUCCUGGCCCACCACCCUUUAGUCCCGAUUCCUUCCACAAACCGUGA
rnacentral:rRNA from 1 species